AUGGCUUUUAGUAUAAUUGCAGAGUUGUACAGCCAUCACCAUCACCAAUUCCAGAACAUUCCAUCAACCCAAAAGGAAGCCCCAUCAGUCCCUAUGAGCAGUCAUUUUGUCCCCUCCCCAUCCCCCAGCACCCAAGACUCCACUUCCUGUCUCUGGAUUCUCCUGGCCUGGACGUUUCCUGUCCAUGGAGUCCCACGCUGUGUGUCUUUCUGUAUCUGGCAUCUCACUGGAGCACAGGAUCCUCAGAGUCUCUCCACACUUGGUCCACACUUAGGAGCAGAGGUGCUGGGUCAGGCGGUGACUCUCUUUACCCUUUGGAGGAGCUGCUGGCCUGUUCCAAGGCAGCCACGCCAUUUCACAUCCUGCACUGCCUGCACGGUUUGGAUUCCUCCAGCCCGUGCUCACAUGAGUGCUUGGCUGUCUCUCUUGCUAGGGAUGGGUGUGGGAGGCCUGGUGUUAAUUGUCCCCUGGGCUUUGAAUGUGGCUGUAGCAGCAGCUGAUGGCCUUGGAGGGUGGGCUCAUGCUCGCCUCUGGGGACUGCACUGAGCAGGGGUCAGGAGCCUGUGCCCGGCCAGUGGCCAGCCCAGGAGAUGCCAGCACACCCUCCCCUGCCGUGGAGAGGCUCAGCCCCUGGAGUGAACAGGCUGGGGGGAUGGGGGCUAGGCCUGGUCACAGGCUGCCUCAGGAGUGUGGACCCCAGUGGAUCAGCCAGAGACAGC
rnacentral:lncRNA from 1 species